rnacentral:tRNA from 1 species
AAAAAGAUAAGCUAAUAAAGCUAAUGGGUUCAUACCUCAUUUAUGAAAGUUUUAAUCUUUCUCUUUUUA